rnacentral:lncRNA from 1 species
AACAACGAACGAUAACCUCUAAAUUUAACUUGUGUGCUUGUUUUUCUUUUAGUUUUCUUCCCUCUUCUCUAGUUUCUCACUGUUUCUCCUCUCUUUUCUCUCUUUUUUUUUCUUGUUCGUGUAUCCUUUGUUUCUUGUUUUCAAUGCUUUCUUUUCUUUCUAUUUUUCUUCUCAAGUUUUCUAUUUGUUCUUUUGUGUUCUAUUCC